GGGAGCUAUGAUCAGGGUGUGGCUGGAGGAGAGUCUGAGCCUGGGUGUGGUGGUCUGGGGACCCUGAUUAGCAGACUUGGGGCUAUCAGGGUGGGGGCCCUCCUGUUUAUCAGGAGCUUGCAGGGGCCACUGAGGACACUUUGUGCUGAGGGCUAUCUCCUGGAUGGCUGCUUUGCCAUCCUUCCACCUCCUUAGAGCCCUGAGGGGAGCUAGGAUUGGAGGCCUUCUCCCUUUCUGCACGUCAGAGGGAGACUCUGCCCCUUGCCCGGCCAGCAUGGGGCUGGAGGACACAUCCUGGUCCUUGGGCCAAGCCUUGUAUGCUAACAGUUUUUGCUGCAGACUAGGAGUUUCUCAGCUCUCCUGAGACCAAGGUGGGCUGAUCUGGGACCUUAACCUUCUAAAGUCUAAUUCUAAUCCCUGACAUGGCAACUUUAUUUUUAUUUAUUUAUUUAUUUUGUCUUUUUGCCAUUUUCUUGGGCUGCUCCCAUGGCAUACGGAGGUUCCCAGGCUAGGGGUCGAAUCGGAGCUAUAGCUGCUGGCCUAUUCCAGGGCCACAGCAACGCAGGAUCCAAGCUAUGUCUGCAACCUACACCAUGGCUCACGGCAACGCCGGAUCCUUAACCCACUGAGCAAGGGCAGGAACCGAACCCGCAACCUCAUGGUUCCUAGUCGGAUUCGUUAGCCACUGAGCCGUGACGGGAACUCUGACGGCAACUUUAAACUUAGACUCUUAUUUAGGCCUUCUUUGGAUGAAAUCCUUAAAUCACACGGCAAGUGAUGAAAUUAAGGAUGGUCAGAUCUGCCAAGAGUCCUUAAAAAUUGUGGGAUUCAAGGAGUUCCCUGGUGGCACAGAGGGUUAAGGAUCUGGUAUUGUCACUGCAGUGGCUCGGGUUCCAUCCCGGGCCCAGGAACUUCCACAUGGCACAGGUGUUGCCAAAAAAAAAAAUCAUGGAAUACAACUCCCUCCUUUUAUAGGAAACUGAGGCCCAGCGAAGGGGAGGGUAUCGUGCAAAGCUUCAGGCUUCCCUCCAUCUUUCAGCACCUGGGAACCCAUGACCCUGUGAGGAAUAGUAAGGCAGCAGCUGAUACCCACAGGUACAGAGGCACAUACAUAGCACACACGUAUGAUGCCCACAUAGACACAAUACCCAAAAAACUGGACUCAGCUGGUAAAAUUACUCUUAAUUUCCUCAUGGUUGUUUUACUAAGUUUCAUAAAGUGGGCAGUUUUGUGUCUUUUUUUGUUUUGUUUUUUCUUUCAGGGCCGCACCCACAGCAUAUGAAGGUUCCCAGGCUAGAGUUCAAAUCAGAGCUGUAGCUGCUGGCCUACACCACAGCCACAGCAACGCCAGAUUUGAGCCUCGUCUGUGACCUACACCGCAGCUCAUGGCAGCACCAGAUCCUUAACCCACCAAGCGACUCCAGGGAAUGAACCUAUGUCUUCAUGGAUACUAGUUGGGUUUGUUACCGAUGAGCCAUAACGGGAACUCCAAGCUGGCAAUUUUGCAUGAAGAUAAAAGAAAGCCCCAGAGUUCUCAUUGUGGUGCAGCGGAAACAAAUCUGACUAGGAACCACGAGGUUGUGGAUCCUUAACCCACUGAGCGAGGCCAGGGAUCCAACGUACAACCUCAUGGUUCCUAGGCGGUUUCAUUUCUGCUGUGCCACUAUGGAAACUUUAAAAAAAAAAAAAAAAAACUCACCUUUGAACCAACUACUUAAAAAAGUUCAGGGGGGUGGGGUUCCUGUUAUGGCUUGGUGGGUUAGGAACCUGACAUAGUGUCCCUGAGGAUGCAGUUUUGAGCCCUGGACUCAUUCUAUGGGUUAAGGAUCCAGCGUUGUUGUGGCUGUGGACACAGGAACUUCCAUAAGCCUCAGGUGCGUAAAAAAGGAAAAAAAAAAA
ensembl:lncRNA